CCACUGUCAGCUUGGGGGAAUACUGAAAUUGGAGUAGAAGAUGCAGAUGCAUAUACAACAUUAACUGUCAUUUGGUACAUUUGUGAAAGUUUUGUUUUUGUUCUGUUUCAUUUUAUUUUAAUUUCAGUUCAGAUUACUUUGCGGGAUGGUUUAAGGUUCUUUUCUAGGUAAGAUUGAAGUUAAAUUUUGAGUUUUUAAAUCUAUUGGCUUCUAUGGAUCUGAUAACAAAACAAUAGUGCAAAUUGAUCAGUUCAUAUUAAUUGGCGAUUCAUUUGAUUUAGGCUUGAUUCACAUAUAAUUUAUGAUCUGGUCAAUAGAUUCGAAUUAUGAGGGUUGGGAGUCAACUUGAAUUGUAUGAUUCUAGGGGCAUUUCCUGCUUAGGUAGAAUAGUGUCCAGUAGAAUUUAUUUAGUCUCCUUAAGGAAAAAAU
rnacentral:misc_RNA from 1 species